rnacentral:rRNA from 1 species
GAUGAACGCUGGCGGCGUGCUUAACACAUGCAAGUCGAACGAUUAAAGCCCCUUCGGGGGUGUAUAGAGUGGCGAACGGGUGAGUAACACGUGGGCAACCUGCCCUCUGCUUCGGGAUAACUCACGGAAACGUGAGCUAAUACCGGAUACUCCGGUCUGACCGCAUGGUCGGAUCGGGAAAGUUCCGGCGGCAGAGGAUGGGCCCGCGGCCCAUUAGCUAGUUGGUGAGGUAAUGGCCCACCAAGGCGACGAUGGGUAGCCGAGCUGAGAGGCUGAUCGGCCACACUGGGACUGACGACACGGCCCAGACUCCUACGGGAGGCAG